AUUGAACGCUGGCGGCAGGCCUAACACAUGCAAGUCGGGCGGAGCGGCGGACGGGUGAGUAAUGUAUGGGGAUCUGCCUGAUGGAGGGGGAUAACGUCCGGAAACGGGCGCUAAUACCGCAUACUAUCAGAUGAGCCUAGGUCGGAUUAGCUAGUUGGUGGGGUAAAGGCCUACCAAGGCGACGAUCCGUAACUGGUCUGAGAGGAUGAUCAGUCACACUGGAACUGAGACACGGUCCAGACUCCUACGGGAGGCAGCAGUGGGGAAUAUUGGACAAUGGGCGAAAGCCUGAUCCAGCCAUGCCGCGUGUGUGAAGAAGGUCUUCGGGUUGUAAAGUACUUUCAGUCGGGAGGCGUUACCGACAGAAGAAGCACCGGCUAACUCCGUGCCAGCAGCCGCGGUAAUUC
rnacentral:rRNA from 1 species